rnacentral:rRNA from 1 species
GUGUCAGCAGCCGCGGUAAUACGUAGGGUGCGAGCGUUAAUCGGAAUUACUGGGCGUAAAGCGUGCGUAGGCGGUUGCACAAGCUUGAUGUGAAAGCCCCGGGCUCAACCUGGGAAUGGCAUUGAGGACUGUGCGGCUUGAGUGCGGCAGAGGGAGGUGGAAUUCCAGGUGUAGCAGUGAAAUGCGUAGAGAUCUGGAGGAACACCGAUGGCGAAGGCAGCCUCCUGGGCCGACACUGACGCUGAUGCACGAAAGCGUGGGGAGCAAACAGGAUUAGAAACCCUGGUAGUCC